GUCACGGUAGAAAAGAAACUAACCAGGAUUCCCUCAGUAACGGCGAGUGAACAGGGAAGAGCCCAGCCCGAAUCCCCGCCCCCGGUGGGGCGCGGGACAUGUGGCGUACGGAAGCCCCACUCCCCGGCGCCGCUCGUGGGGGGCCCAAGUCCUUCUGAUCGAGGCCCAGCCCGUGGACGGUGUGGAGCCUGGUACGGCCCCCGGCGCGCCGGGCCCGGGGCUUCCCGGAGUCGGGUUGCUUGGGAAUGCAGCCCNAGAGCGGGUGGUAG
rnacentral:rRNA from 1 species